GCAGUCGUGGCCUAAUGGUUAAGGCGAUGGACUAGAAAUCCACUAGGAUCUCCCCGCACAGGUUCGAAUCCUGUCGACUGCG
rnacentral:tRNA from 2 species